CCUGGGCCGGGUCGGAGGGGGAGUGAGCGCGGGUGGCCCCAGGGCCAGCAGGAUGCGGCGGACACUCGCUUCUCGGGCGGCCCCACCCAGUGUCAACAAGAAAUCACUAUGUCCGUGCCUGAGGGUAGUGACACGCAACACCCCCUUAACCUCUCGGAGUGCUUUGCCAAGCUGUCCUGGUCCCCCACUUUGGCUGGGACAUGGGUGCAGAUAGCCAUCAUCAAGAAAGGGAAAUCAAACCUGGUCGACAGCUCCUUUGCUGGGCACAUCUGUGUCCAACAGAUGGUUCAUCGUGACGAACGCCAGCAAAGCCAUUGCAGGGAAUUUGAAGAUUGUGAAUGAGAUGAAUGAUAGCAAGUGUCUGGCUUCCAUCCAUCUGAAUGUAACAGAGCCUGUGCCAACCUCAGCUCCAGUCUCCCAGGUGGCCCUGCUCAGCAACGGGAUGGCAGCAGGGGGUGAGUGACGUGGCUGGGAACGGGCUGCUGAGCUGCUGGGAUCUUCAACUAAUUCUGGCUGCUGCCCGGCGCCCCGGCAGAUUGCCCGGCGCCCCGGCAGAUUGCCCGGCGCCCCGGCAGAUUGCCCUGCCUGGCUCCUGUCAGGCAUGGACAGGCCAGACAGCAAGGAACAGUGCGGUGUCAGCUAGAGGCCAACAAGCAGCCAGGAGGGAGGGUCUCUGUGUUCCCUGGUCCCAGCAGGGCUGGGAGUAGCAGGGUCAGAUCUCCCUCUCCCGCUGAGAGAGCCGUCCAUGGCUUUACAUCCCUUCUCCUUGCCCUACUGGCCGAUGGAGCAGAGUGGGUGGAGCAGAACCUCCAGGUACUGACCGCUUGGCUCCCAACCCCACGUCCGUGCCCAUCUAUGACUUGAUUUCUUGGGUGACACUUUAUAUUGAGGUUCCACAUAGAAGUAAUUUAGAAAGGGUUGAAUGGUGGCUGCAGGGUUUGUCUACACAGGGCCACUCAGGAAAAUUAAUCCGAAUCAUGUCAAAGUGCAGGCUCUGGUCUACACUACAGAGUUAGGUAGAUAUAAGGCAGCUUACGUCACCCUAACUGUGAGUGUCUACACUGAAAGGCAGCUCCCACCCAUGGAAUUCGCUCGCCGAACCGUCAGAAUAACUCCAGCUGCGCGCGAGGCCUAGUGCUUGGGUGGAUGCAGUUAGAUCGAUACAGGGACGGUAACGACAUCGCCUGUUGCUGCCUUUCAGACGCCGUCCCACAAUGCCCCACGCUGGCACAGUGGGGAUGCGCGCUGCCGACACAAGGGGCGCAGUGUGGACAUGCUAAAGGGUUUUAAUUACUGUCCUGUCUGUAUGUCGACAUUACUUCGACUUAAUUUUGUAGUAGAGACUUGCCCUGAAUUUAAAGUGGAUUCGCUAAACCGCAUUGAUCCACCUCCCCAUCUUCCUCCCCCUCCCCCCCGCCCGUUUCGACACUCUUAUUUAGAAUUGAAGUGGCCUGAAUUCAAUUCACUUUGGAAGUGAAUUAAGCUAAAUAGAAUUCAGGCUGCCUUAAUUUUGAAGGAGAGUGUCCACACAGGGGUUUAAUUUGGUUUAACUAAUACAUUUUAAAAGCCAAUUCUGAUUAGUUUUCUUGAGUGGCCCUGUGUAGACAAGCACACUCUUUACCUGUGUGUUUAGCAUGCUGAGACCGCAUAUUCACCAUGUACAAAUGCUUUAUAAACCAGCUAGCAAGUGAACCUUAAUCUAAAGUGUAUGGUGCCUAGCACCCCAGUCUCGGCCCAACACCCCAUAGCGGUAGACACUGUACAAUAUCUAUUAGCUGUGUUACGGUAGCGCCUCGGAGCCCCAGGAAAAUCGGCAAACCCAUGAUUAGCUGGGGACUGUGGAGCGUCUUGAACUGAAAAAUCCCUUUUGCAUGCCGGGAUGGAACACUGAGCAUGGUAGAGAGGCUGGAAAUUUUCGCCUGCUUUGUCCAGCUCUCCCGCUAACGCUGCUCUCCUGUCGUUGGUUGCAGAGCCCGGAUCUCAGUCCAGCCAUAUUGUAGCCGUGGUGGUAGGGACAGUGGUGGCCUUUCUGGUGUUGGUGUUGGCACUGGGGCCAUGGCAGAGAAAUAAGAGAGCUCACUGCAGAGACUGGUUCGGCAGCUGUCUUGGCUUCCUUCCAGCAGGCCGGCGACGCAAACCCCAUGCAGGAGCUGGCAGAGAUGACGCAGCCGGAGGAUGCCAGCGGUGGGGACCGGUCAGCCGUGAUGAGUGGGAAACUUCUCAGCAGCGCUGAAAUGCUAAACACUGCGAGACUGGAGAGUGGGGAGGAAUGAACCCCGUCCCUCAACAUCCACUCAAUGUGCAGCGGCAGUCAAAAAAGAGCCAAUCUUCAUAUAUUCAAUGUACUUGUUUGAUUCUAGGUAGCUUCAAUGAAGCAUUUGGUCAGUUUCUAGAGAAAUGACUAUUUUCAUGUGAAAGUAGGAUGAAUUAUAUUGUAAAAAUAGAAAGGAUUAAAGAAAUGCUGUAUGUACCUUUAAGCAGAAAUAAGGAAUGUUGAAAUACAGGUGUCAGGAAAAGAAACAUUAAGGCAUAAACAAUGAAUCCACUUAAGCUUAUGGUGGAACAUUAACUGGAGAUCUGUAAAAGUUAGUAAGGAAAUUGAAUAUGUAUGUCUAGCCUCAGGUAAACUUGUCAGUUCUGCUUUCUUUGUCCUCUUGUUAAGUUCGCGCCCAUUUUAUCUGUAUAAAAUAAAGUAGUGUGGGUCUUACAUGUGGCUAUGAUCUUGCACAGGAGAACAAAGGGUUUUCCUCCCACAAGAGAGAGAAUAUUAAAGGCCCUAAAAACCCCUCCAUUUGGUCUUCAGCUGGCUCAAAAGAUAACCUCUCCACCCCAAAGAGAUGCCUGAAAGAAACGGGAACAAAGGACCGUAACUAUGGGGGGUGUGAGGGAUUGCUGGACCCAGACUAGGAAGGAGUCUAGUCUGUGAAAGAAGCUUAUUGGAACAUCUCUGAGGGUGAGA